UGAAAUGUUCCAGUGAAAUGCUGCCCUUAAAUAUCAUCUUUUCAUCUGUCCAAGUUGGAAUAAUAGAUGAAGAAUGUUGAGAGGGGGAAAAAAAAAGAAGUGAAUGACCCAGAAAUAAGCACUUAGAUUGUGG